UGCGUAGGCGGUCUCAUAAGUCAGUGGUGAAAUCUUGCAGCUUAACUGUAAAACUGCCAUUGAUACUGUUAGUCUUGAAUUUAGUUGAGGUAGGCGGAAUGUAUUGUGUAGCGGUGAAAUGCAUAGAUAUAAUACAGAACACCGAUUGCGAAGGCAGCUUACUAAGCUAUAAUUGACGCUGAUGCACGAAAGCGUGGGGAGCGAACAGGAUUAGAUACCCUGGUAGUCC
rnacentral:rRNA from 1 species